rnacentral:tRNA from 1 species
AGGGAUUUAGCUCAAUGGCACAGUGUCUGCCUUGCAAGCAUAAGGUCCUGAGUUCAAUCCCUG